rnacentral:rRNA from 1 species
UACGAAGGGGGCUAGCGUUGUUCGGAAUCACUGGGCGUAAAGCGCACGUAGGCGGAUCUUUAAGUCAGGGGUGAAAUCCCGAGGCUCAACCUCGGAACUGCCUUUGAUACUGGGGAUCUCGAGUCCGGGAGAGGUGAGUGGAACUGCGAGUGUAGAGGUGAAAUUCGUAGAUAUUCGCAAGAACACCAGUGGCGAAGGCGGCUCACUGGCCCGGUACUGACGCUGAGGCGCGAAAGCGUGGGGAGCAAACAGG